rnacentral:lncRNA from 10 species
CUUUGUCUACACAGUACAUAUACCAGGUUUCUGACCUGUGGCUCACUUUUACAUUUAUUUAUUUACAUUCUAACAUUCACUUAAUUCUUAUUGUCAGUUUAGCUGAUGCUACUGUAACUGCAAUUUAGAAUGCAUUUUUUCAGUUGAAAGAGCAUGAUUUACCACUAAUUGAAGGACUGAAGGAAACACUAGCUGGUAGGUGGAUUAAAUAAAAGAAUGAGCUCAAAUGAAAGUAAUUAUGUCUAGUUUUCAGCAGCAUUUCUUUCCAGUAAGUAAAGAUUAGCCAAAUAUCUAAAUGAAUUUCUUUAAUCUGAACAUUUGCUUUGACAUAAAAUGCUCAUUCAACAAGUUUUGGGAACAUGAAAAAUAUAUUUUUACUUUUUAUUUAGAUGAGAAAGAAUUGAUUAUUCCUCACUGAUUAGCUUGAUUAGAAGAUCAAGUUCUGUUAUUAACACCAAACAACAACAACAAAAACAUGGAAUUCUACUUUCUACAUCAAUUAAAAUUUAUAACUAUUAUUCUGGUAAAUUCAUACACACUUCUGUUCUCAGUGUGAAUAGUAUAGUUGUACCAGUGAAGUUGAGGAUUUCUUAUUGUGAAGGUGAGUAUACUUCAUGUGUAAGAGUACUAAAUGUUCGAUAAUAUUGAGCAUUUCAAGGAGCCAAGCCAUUUACAGUUAUUAUUUCAUUUUUUCCUUAUUACUAUCCAUAAUUAUGCAUUGUACUCUUUCAGUUUUGAAGAUGAAGAAAAACCGAAGCUAUAAGGACUGAGAUAAAAUGCCAAGGACAUAUAGCUUGAAAAAGGCAUGGCUAGAAUGUGCACUCAGUAUGACCUCAGCACCCAAGCUCUUUACCAAUAUAUGCUGCAAUCUUAGGCUCAUCAACUGCACACAGUGAAUUGUGGUGCUACUUCGUCUAAGCCUGCAUUCUCCUUCAGAGCCUACACCUCCCUUUCAGCUGUUUUCACCUUCACUGUUCCAAAAAAAGCAGACUUUGAAAACUUAAGAAAUGACAUUAAAAAAAAUCAAAAUCGAUUCAGAUUGACAUUCAACUUUAUUCAUUAAGUUGAACUAGGUCUAACAUAAAUGCCUAGGUAUAAAAC